rnacentral:rRNA from 1 species
AGAGUUUGAUCAUGGCUCAGAUUGAACGCUGGCGGCAGGCCUAACACAUGCAAGUCGAGCGGUAGCACAGAGAGCUUGCUCUCGGGUGACGAGCGGCGGACGGGUGAGUAAUGUCUGGGAAACUGCCUGAUGGAGGGGGAUAACUACUGGAAACGGUAGCUAAUACCGCAUAACGUCGCAAGACCAAAGUGGGGGACCUUCGGGCCUCAUGCCAUCAGAUGUGCCCAGAUGGGAUUAGCUAGUAGGUGGGGUAACGGCUCACCUAGGCGACGAUCCCUAGCUGGUCUGAGAGGAUGACCAGCCACACUGGAACUGAGACACGGUCCAGACUCCUACGGGAGGCAGCAGUGGGGAAUAUUGCACAAUGGGCGCAAGCCUGAUGCAGCCAUGCCGCGUGUAUGAAGAAGGCCUUCGGGUUGUAAAGUACUUUCAGCGGGGAGGAAGGGAGUAAAGUUAAUACCUUUGCUCAUUGACGUUACCCGCAGAAGAAGCACCGGCUAACUCCGUGCCAGCAGCCGCGGUAAUACGGAGGGUGCAAGCGUUAAUCGGAAUUACUGGGCGUAAAGCGCACGCAGGCGGUCUGUCAAGUCGGAUGUGAAAUCCCCGGGCUCAACCUGGGAACUGCAUUCGAAACUGGCAGGCUAGAGUCUUGUAGAGGGGGGUAGAAUUCCAGGUGUAGCGGUGAAAUGCGUAGAGAUCUGGAGGAAUACCGGUGGCGAAGGCGGCCCCCUGGACAAAGACUGACGCUCAGGUGCGAAAGCGUGGGGAGCAAACAGGAUUAGAUACCCUGGUAGUCCACGCCGUAAACGAUGUCGAUUUGGAGGUUGUGCCCUUGAGGCGUGGCUUCCGGAGCUAACGCGUUAAAUCGACCGCCUGGGGAGUACGGCCGCAAGGUUAAAACUCAAAUGAAUUGACGGGGGCCCGCACAAGCGGUGGAGCAUGUGGUUUAAUUCGAUGCAACGCGAAGAACCUUACCUGGUCUUGACAUCCACAGAACUUUCCAGAGAUGGAUUGGUGCCUUCGGGAACUGUGAGACAGGUGCUGCAUGGCUGUCGUCAGCUCGUGUUGUGAAAUGUUGGGUUAAGUCCCGCAACGAGCGCAACCCUUAUCCUUUGUUGCCAGCGGUUCGGCCGGGAACUCAAAGGAGACUGCCAGUGAUAAACUGGAGGAAGGUGGGGAUGACGUCAAGUCAUCAUGGCCCUUACGACCAGGGCUACACACGUGCUACAAUGGCAUAUACAAAGAGAAGCGACCUCGCGAGAGCAAGCGGACCUCAUAAAGUAUGUCGUAGUCCGGAUUGGAGUCUGCAACUCGACUCCAUGAAGUCGGAAUCGCUAGUAAUCGUAGAUCAGAAUGCUACGGUGAAUACGUUCCCGGGCCUUGUACACACCGCCCGUCACACCAUGGGAGUGGGUUGCAAAAGAAGUAGGUAGCUUAACCUUCGGGAGGGCGCUUACCACUUUGUGAUUCAUGACUGGGGUGAAGUCGUAACAAGGUAACCGUAGGGGAACCUGCGGUUG